rnacentral:rRNA from 1 species
CCUACGGGGGGCAGCAGUGGGGAAUAUUGCACAAUGGGGGGAACCCUGAUGCAGCGACGCCGCGUGGGUGAAGGAGCACCUCGGUGCGUAAAGCCCUAUCGGCAGGGAAGAAAGGCGGGCGGGGCCCGUCUGGACGGUACCUGACUAAGAAGCCCCGGCUAACUACGUGCCAGCAGCCGCGGUAAUACGUAGGGGGCAAGCGUUAUCCGGAUUCACUGGGUGUAAAGGGAGCGGAGACGGCGACGCAAGUCUGGAGUGAAAGCCCGGGGCCCAACCCCGGGACUGCUCUGGAAACUGCGGCGCUGGAGUACGGGAGGGGCAGGCGGAAUUCCUGGUGUAGCGGUGAAAUGCGUAGAUAUCAGGAGGAACAUCAGUGGCGAAGGCGACUAUCUGGCACAUAACUGACGCUGAGGAGCGAAAGCGUGGGUAGCAAACAGGAUUAGAUACCCGAGUAGUC